CAGCCCCGCGCAGCGCCGCGCUCACCUUGCAGCGCAGCUCCCGGCCGGAGCUGACGCUCAGCGCCCGCGACACCUGCUCGCGCUCGGCCAGCGGCAGCAGCAGGAAUCCCGACUGCUAGGCAGGGAGCUUGGGUUUGGAGCAGAGGCGACAGCUGGUCACAGCUCUGAGAUGUCCCAGCAGAGGAAAAGGUCUUGCCCAGCACACAUUGGCUAGGGCCACAGCAAGCUACCGGCUGGCAACACAGAAUCUGGUAGCAUCUAUGCAUAUGAUUCUUCUCUGAGCAUUGCUGUGACCAUGUUCAUGUCUUUGAAAUAAUAUAUGUUAACAGUAAGUAUUUUUUGACCAGAUUUAAAUGAUUAUAUAGGAAUGAUUAUAUAGGAAUAUAUAUAUAUAAUGCAAGAUUUGGAGUCUCUAUUUGCAGUCAGAACUUUAUAUAUACAGAAAAAAAAAAAAACUUUGACCACUGAUCCCUUUGCAGAAUAAUCUGUACCUGUAAUGGGGAGCCAUCAGUUAAAGGCUGUAGCAAGGAGAAAGGAAGAACAGUCCUUAGGUUAUUCUAACAUUUUCCACUCCAAGAACACCCUUACUAGGGGUACCCUUACUGUAUAACAGAGCACUAUCCAUUCCUGAAAUAUCCAGUGAGUGCCACACAGAACCUCAGGAGAUUCUUCAGGCAGGAUGGAGAUUAACUCUCACCUGAAACUGCAGUGGAAGUUAAUCAAGUUGCACAGUGAAUUCUAAGUUUUGGCCACAGCACUAGAGCUAUUCUUGAGAAAAACGUCAUGAGGUACUUGUGACCACAGGUAGGUAAGACCUUUGUCAUCAGCCACUCAUGAGGAAACAUGAGUAUCCAAGAGGACAUUGUCUAAAAUAAGGCAGUGUGUUGGCCUUGGCCGUUGAGUCAUCAGUAUCACUUCCUGCAGCCCCUGCUUUUGCUCCGGGUAUUUCUCAAGGGAACACUGACUUAGCCCAGGCUUUUUGAUUCUUCCAGAAUGAAUAAGAUCACAGCUCAGGAGCGGUAAUGAUGAAUAUAUCCUUGAUUUAGAGGACUGUGUGCUCCUUUUAGCACAAGUGUGCUAAAUCUUCCAUGAGAUGCCUGCCUGAUUAGUUUUUAUCUUUAUACUUUGUGGUCCCACUGACUCGAAAACUUCAGAGAGAGUCUCUAGUUUUAACAUGGAGAAUUCUGUUUAACUGGGAUAAUCUGUUCAAGCAAGAGAACUGUGUUAAUGGCUCAUGCCUCAGGGUAUCACUGAAAGCCCUUGCAUAUAGAUCUCUUUUGCCUUUUAUUUGUUUUAAUGUUCGAUCAGACAUUUCUUUAAUCACUUGAAAUUCUACAUGGAACUUCUCUGGGAGAGACAGAUCCUCAACAUGUUUCAGUGUUAACCACAUCUAGCUUUUCUGUAUUUGUAAAGCACACUUUAUGAAAAAAAAAACCCUAUGAGUUUCUUUCCUUAAAUAUUAUUGCAAAAUUAAUUUUCUGACGUCAAACAAUGAGACACAAUUACUCUGAGAACUGUUAACAUAUGCAUGUUUACAUAUGAUAUCUUAUAGGCAAAACAGAUUAAGAUUUGAAGCUUUAACUGCUGCUGAUUUUCCACUUCUGUGAAUCAUACAGAUCAGCUUAUUCAUCAUCAGACACUUCAUAUUCAUUCUUUAACUGUUUCAAGCUACUUCUAUCCAGAGCAGAGUUGUGCACGACACGGACCACAUCUGAGUAAGGAGGACGUGACUGCGUAACAAGACCUAACCUUUGCAAGUGAAACAGCAAAGAGCUGCCAACAAAUACAAACAGCCACCCCAAAGAAUCAAUAGCAUUUUAUAACUUCCAUCAAAAAGUCAGUUGACAGGCACAGCAGCCUUCCCCAAUUGCCAAGGCAGUUCUGUUUUUCCACCCAGUAAAGUGCCAGGUGCAAUUCAAGCUAAUGACCAAGCCUCUAGUAUUUCAAUUUCAGCUGGAAAAUUACUUGUGAGCACAAACAAUAAGAGAGAACCAGCCACGAAAAACCAACAGGAUGGCUCAAAUUCUAGGUCCAGGGAAAGAAAUUCACUGAUCCUACGUGGAGUUCUUUGGAUGUUAUGAUCUAAAUUAGAUUGAGAAAGGCCAAACAUUUUGGGGAGCAGAACUUCAUGGAUUUCUAUAAAUACAGGCAAUUUUCUCUAGUAGUUGAAAAUCUAUGCAGUACAUCACUGAUCUGGAUGGGAGUUAUUUAAGUACCAUAGUCAGCAGUCCUGAUGUAAGCACAUCAAAUAUUUGUCUUUUUCUGGAUAAUAUGGCCCUAGCCAUACUUGAAAAGAGGUAUCUCUGAUGAUAAAAGAAACCUACCUCUAUUUAAAUACACAUAUAUCUUCACCUCAUAUAGAAUUAGUAUUAAAGCGAGGCAGACGUUUGCUGCCAAAGAUCAGUCCAUUUCUUUCAGAUGGAGACUGAAAGGAUUUCAGGCAGCAUCUGCAGCUGCUGUUCAAGUUUCCAGAUUCACUGAUGGUGCCUAGCCCAGGCUAGCAAAGGAAGAAAACAAAAUCAUUUGUUGUGAGGCAGGAAUGGGAACAUUCAAAAAUACCUUUCCACUUACAGAAGAAAUAAAUGAGCGCUUGACUGUUUGUUUUCUUCUCUUUUAAAGUGUUGCUUCAGAUUCGUUUGGUAUUUCUCCGAACUGCAUCAUCUUAACCAGGCAUCUCACCUAUUGCCUGUGGAUUAGUUAAUGCAGAGACAGACUGAGUGGCUGCAGCUUCCAGUAGGGCCAUUAACACUGCUAUAGGUCAAGCCCUUUCUCCUCCAUGUAUGGCAAAGAAACGUACCUAAGUCAGCAAUCUCACUUAUAUUGUUAUCCACUGGAACAUGAGGAUAACGAUGGUAUCAGGAAUGUAGCUAUCUAAGGCUAUAUUGGUACAAACACCACACAUAGUAAACCAAACUAUGCUGCCACCAGUUUGCGGCUAUAAAUUAAUCUAGACAUAAUUUUGCAUUUAUUAUGUUAUGUGUUAUUUGAAGGCACAUUCAAGACACCUACAUGAAUUACAUUUGAGGUGUAACACUGUGGCCAGUGGGAACUGUAUACAUCUUUGCAUCUGAAAACUUGGGAGCCUGAUUACCACUAAGGAUUAGAUUAGAUCCACGAGAGCAACAUUAAUGCACAUCUCUCAGAAACUGCAGAGAUC